CUACUGUAGCUGCAAAGGAGAUAACCACUAUCAAGAAGGUGGUUUUCCCAAGGCAAGGCUGAUCUAUUAUACGCAGGAUGUGCUGAUUCCUUGAAUUUCUUCAACUGUAGGAAAUUAAAAUGCAUACAUUGUGGUACUGGAGAACUGUCUUCA
ensembl:snRNA LOC120103268 U1 spliceosomal RNA